UGAGGAAUAUUGGUCAAUGGGCGAGAGCCUGAACCAGCCAAGUCGCGUGAAGGAUGAAGGUUCUAUGGAUUGUAAACUUCUUUUGUCCGAGGGUAAAAAAGGCUACGUGUAGCUUCUUGCAAGUAUCGGACGAAUAAGCAUCGGCUAACUCCGUGCCAGCAGCCGCGGUAAUACGGAGGAUGCGAGCGUUAUCCGGAUUUAUUGGGUUUAAAGGGUGCGUAGGUGGUUUGUUAAGUUUGUGGUGAAAGCGUGCGGCUCAACCGUACCAAGCCAUGAAAACUGGCGAACUUGAGUGCAAACGAGGUAGGCGGAAUGUGAUGUGUAGCGGUGAAAUGCU
rnacentral:rRNA from 1 species